rnacentral:misc_RNA from 1 species
GAUGAAGAACGCAGCGAAAUGCGAUAAGUAAUGUGAAUUGCAGAAUUCAGUGAAUCAUCGAAUCUUUGAACGCACAUUGCGCCCGUCAGUAUUCUGGCGGGCAUGCCUGUUCGAGCGUCAUUACGCCCCUCAAGUCCCCUUUGGACUUGGUGUUGGGGAUCGGCGAGGCUGGUUUUCCAGCACAGCCGUCCCUUAAAUUAAUUGGCGGUCUCGCCGUGGCCCUCCUCUGCGCAGUAGUAAAACACUCGCAACAGGAGCCCGGCGCGGUCCACUGCCGUAAAACCCCCCAACUUUUUAUAGUUGACCUCGAAUCAGGUAGGACUACCCGCUGAACUUAAGCAUAUCAAUAAGCGGAGGA